rnacentral:ribozyme from 1 species
UGCCCAGCAACUCCUAUCCCUAGCUCCUCAUGGUACCGGCCGGAAACUACGUGCAACCUAUGGGAAGAUCGGGUAACCAACCCCGGUGGGAACUUUGGUCGUAGGCUGACAGGGAAGG